AUUGAACGCUGGCGGCAGGCUUAACACAUGCAAGUCGAGCGGAGAUGAGGUGCUUGCACCUUAUCUUAGCGGCGGACGGGUGUGUAAUGCUUAGGAAUCUGCCAUCUAGUGGGGGACAACAUUCCGAAAGGAAUGCUAAUACCGCAUACGUCCUACGGGAGAAAGCAGGGGAUCUUCGGACCUUGCGCUAAAUGAUGAGCCUACGGCGGAUUAGCCAGUUGGUGGGGUAAAUGCCUACCAAGGCGACGAUCUGUAGCGGGUCUGAGAGGAUGAUCCGCCACACUGGGAGUGAGACACGGCCCAGACGGCUACGGGAGGCAGCAGGAGGGAAUAGUGGGCAAGGGGGGGAACCCUGAUCCAGCCAGGCCGAGGGUGUGAAGAAGGCCGUAGGGUUGGAAAGCACGGUAAGCGAGGAGGAGGCUACUGAGGCUAAUGCUCUUGGAUAGUGGACGGUACUCGCAGAAUAAGCACCGGCUAACUCUGUG
rnacentral:rRNA from 1 species